GACGAGGGGUCCUAGCGUUGUUCGGAAUCAUUGGGCGUAAAGCGUAGGUAGGUGGCUACUUAAGUCAGGUGUGAAAUCCCCGGGCUCAACCCGGGAAGUGCAUUUGAUACUGAGUAGCUUGAGUAUGGGAGAGGAUAGUGGAAUUCCUGGUGUAGUGGUGAAAUACGUAGAUAUCAGGAGGAACACCGGUGGCGAAGGCGGCCCUCUGGACGGUGACUGACGCUGAGACGCGAAAGCGUGGGGAGCAAACAGG
rnacentral:rRNA from 1 species